rnacentral:rRNA from 1 species
GACGAACGCUGGCGGCGUGCUUAACACAUGCAAGUCGAACGGAAAGGCCCUGCUUUUGUGGGGUUCUCGAGUGGCGAACGGGUGAGUAACACGUGAGUAACCUGCCCUUGACUUUGGGAUAACUUCAGGAAACUGGGGCUAAUACCGGAUAGGAGCUCCUGCUGCAUGGUGGGGGUUGGAAAGUUUCGGCGGUUGGGGAUGGACUCGCGGCUUAUCAGCUUGUUGGUGGGGUAGUGGCUUACCAAGGCUUUGACGGGUAGCCGGCCUGAGGGGGUGACCGGCCACAUGGGGACUGAGAGACGGCCCAGACUCCUACGGGAGGCAGCAGUGGGGAAUAUUGCACAAUGGGCGGAAGCCUGAUGCAGCAACGCCGCGUGCGGGAUGACGGCCUUCGGGUUGUAAACCGCUUUCGCCUGUGACGAAGCGUGAGUGACGGUAAUGGGUAAAGAAGCACCGGCUAACUACGUG